GGAUGUGGAGACUAUAAAGCUGUUCACCAUGACCCUAAAGGCAUCAGUCCCACUCUGUGGCUGCUCUAAGAAUGUGUUUCUGUGACCUCAGGAUCGUGCUACAGAGAGGCCCCAAGCUACUGCUGCACACAGCCAUGUCCUCCAUGUGGUGUGAUGCAGAGACACUAGUGAAGGUAUGCUUGAGGUGUGCCCUUUCUUCCAGAUGUUCCGUGUUUCUACUGGACUGUGCAGCACUACAUCACACCGCAUGCACAGUAUCAACAUGUCACAGUUUCAACAUAUCCUGUGACGUCCCAGCCAGCAAGAGCUUCCAAUUCUGCUCUGGAAACUGCACUUGAGAACUGCCUGGACUACUACUAAACCGGGAGAAGUAAAAGACAUGGAAGUGGCUGCAAUACAUGUGAAUUAUCUGUCUGACUGCACUAGAUGAAAGACUUCCUGCGCAUCUGGGAACAGUAAAGGACCCUGCAAUGGAUAGUAGGGCAAGUAUGACUGACAGAUCAGGAAUUCCUGCUCAGUGCCGUGUCCUCAAUGCUCUUUGCUUCGCUCUGUGCAAGGUGAGCAACUAAGACUUCACAUAUAGUACCUGAGAAAGUGAUAAGAAGAUUUGCCUGCUCAUUAAACGACUUCUUUUAUAAAUACCUUGUGGCU